CAAUAGCGUAUAUUAAAGUUGUUGCAGUUAAAAAGCUCGUAGUUGGAUUUCUGGUAGGAGUGACCGUGCCAGACUUGAUCGUCUGUGUAUUGUGUUGUCUCCAGCCAUCCUUGUGGAGAACUUUUCUUGCAUUAAUUUGUAGGGAUUGGGACCCGCAUCGUUUACUGUGAAAAAAUUAGAGUGUUUAAAGCAGGCAAUCGCUUGAAUACAUUAGCAUGGAAUAAUAAGAUAGGACUUUGGUACUAUUUUGUUGGUUUGCAUACCAAAUUAAUGAUCAACAGGAACAGUUUGAGGAUAUUCGUAUGAACAUGUCAGAGGUGAAAUUCUUGGAUCUUGAUCAGACGAACUACUGCGAAAGCAUUUAUCAAGGAUGUUUUCAUUAA
rnacentral:rRNA from 1 species